GCACCCCAGCUGAGCCAAAGUAGCUGAUCUGGUCCUCAAGCUGGGUCUCUCCAGCCCCAUAAGACCCACCUCCAGCAGCCUGCUGGGACCUCUGUUUCCAGGCUGAGUUAGUACAUCACACAUUACCAUGGAUGCAUUUCAGUCAUGAAAACUAAAGAACCCCAAGGCACUGUGAGAAACAGAGCUGUGCUGCAUUGGUCAACCCACAGACCC